UUCUUAUAAAGAGUGGUGGAGGGACUGGCCCUAUGAAGCCCAGCAACCUACUUUUAAAAUAGGUAGAUAAACUUUCUAAAAGUGUUUAUUUGUGUACUUGUUUUUAAGAGUGUGGUGCUAAUUCCUGCAGCUAGGUUUAGCUGAAAUAUGAGAG
rnacentral:ncRNA from 2 species